AGGCUGCUGGUUGGAAUAUUAAAUGGUAUACACCCAAGAACUGAAAACGGACUCAAACACAGCAGCAUUAUUCACAAUCGCCAAAAGGUGGAAACAACCCAAAUGUCCAUUAUCAAAUGAAGAAGACGGAAGAGGGAGAG